rnacentral:rRNA from 1 species
UACGGGGGGAGCAAGCGUUGUUCGGAUUUACUGGGCGUAAAGGGCGCGUAGGCGGCGCAACAAGUCACUUGUGAAAUCUCCGGGCUUAACCCGGAGCGGUCAAGUGAUACUGUCGUGCUAGAGUGCGGAAGGGGGCUACUGGAAUUCUCGGUGUAGCGGUGGAAUGCGCAGAUAUCAGGAGGAACACCGGUGGCGAAGGCGGUUCUCUGGGCAUGACCUGACGCUGAGGAGCGAAAGUGUGGGGAGCGAACAGG